rnacentral:lncRNA from 1 species
AUAGCAUUCCCCGAGCAUAAUUUUCAGGCAUAACAGUUGGAGCAUUGAGAUUAUCAGCACAUUUUGAAAUGUUAAAGUAAUGUUGCUUAGAUCAGAAUGUUAGUAAGUACGAGUUACAUUAGCAUGGGUUAUGAUUACAAGAAGUUAAUUAAUAUGUCUGACUUAGGUUAAUAGCAUGCUGAAUAGAACCUCAUCCUAACUAGCUAAUAAAUUGCUUGGGGUCUGUAGCUGGGUGUGUAAUUAGUGCAAUUAUAUGAUAAGC